rnacentral:rRNA from 1 species
AUCGAACGCUGGCGGCAGGCUUAACACAUGCAAGUCGAGCGGUAACAGGGUGCUUGCACCGCUGACGAGUGGCGAACGGGUGAGUAAUACAUCGGAAUGUACCCAGUAAUGGGGGAUAACGCUUCGAAAGGAGUGCUAAUACCGCAUACGCCCUGAGGGGGAAAGUGGGGGACCGCAAGGCCUCACGUUAUUGGAGCAGCCGAUGGCUGAUUAGCUAGUUGGUGAGGUAAAGGCUCACCAAGGCGACGAUCAGUAGCGGGUCUUAGAGGACGAUCCGCCACACUGGAACUGAGACACGGUCCAGACUCCUACGGGAGGCAGCAGUGGGGAAUCUUGGACAAUGGGCGAAAGCCUGAUCCAGCAAUGCCGCGUGCGUGAAGAAGGCCUUCGGGUUGUAAAGCGCUUUUGUCUGGGAGCAAAUCCUGGCCUCUAAUACAGGUCGGGGAUGAGAGUACCAGAAGAAUAAGGACCGGCUAACUACGUGCCAGCAGCCGCAGUAA